rnacentral:rRNA from 1 species
AUUGAACGCUGGCGGCAUGCUUUACACAUGCAAGUCGAACGGUAACAGGUUAAGCUGACGAGUGGCGAACGGGUGAGUAAUGCAUCGGAACGUGCCCGGUCGUGGGGGAUAACACUUCGAAAGAAGUGCUAAUACCGCAUACGAUCUGAGGAUGAAAGCGGGGGACCGUAAGGCCUCGCGCGAUCGGAGCGGCCGAUGUCAGAUUAGGUAGUUGGUGGGGUAAAGGCUCACCAAGCCGACGAUCUGUAGCUGGUCUGAGAGGACGACCAGCCACACUGGGACUGAGACACGGCCCAGACUCCUACGGGAGGCAGCAGUGGGGAAUUUUGGACAAUGGGCGCAAGCCUGAUCCAGCAAUGCCGCGUGCAGGAAGAAGGCCUUCGGGUUGUAAACUGCUUUUGUACGGAGCGAAAAGGCUCUCUCUAAUACAGGGGGCUCAUGACGGUACCGUAAGAAUAAGCACCGGCUAACUACGUGCCAGCCGCCGCCGUAAUAC